rnacentral:rRNA from 1 species
CACCAGCCCCCCGAGUGGUGGGGAUGAUUAUUUGGCCUAAAGCGUCCGUAGCCGGCUCUGUAAAUCUCUCGUUAAAUCCAGCGUCCUAAGCGUUGGGCUGCGAGGGAGACUGCCGAGCUAGAGGGUGGGAGAGGUCAGCGGUAUUCCUGGGGUAGGGGCGAAAUCCAUUGAUCCCAGGAGGACCACCAGUGGCGAAGGCUGCUGACUAGAACACGCCUGACGGUGAGGGACGAAAGCUGGGGUAGCGAAUCGGAUUAGAUACCCGAGUAGUCCCAGCCGUAAACGAUGCAGGCUAGGUGUUGGGUCGGCCACGCGCCGCCUUAGUGCCACAGGGAAGCCAUUAAGCCUGCCGCCUGGGGAGUACGGCCGCAAGGCUGAAACUUAAAGGAUUGGCGGGGGAGCACCACCAAGCGUGAAGCCUGCGGUUU